rnacentral:rRNA from 1 species
GAUCUUCGGACCUUGCGCUAAUAGAUGAGCCUAAGUCGGAUUAGCUAGUUGGUGGGGUAAAGGCCUACCAAGGCGACGAUCUGUAGCGGGUCUGAGAGGAUGAUCCGCCACACUGGGACUGAGACACGGCCCAGACUCCUACGGGAGGCAGCAGUGGGGAAUAUUGGACAAUGGGGGGAACCCUGAUCCAGCCAUGCCGCGUGUGUGAAGAAGGCCUUAUGGUUGUAAAGCACUUUAAGCGAGGAGGAGGCUACUUUAGUUAAUACCUAGAGAUAGUGGACGUUACUCGCAGAAUAAGCACCGGCUAACUCUGUGCCAGCAGCCGCGGUAAUACAGAGGGUGCGAGCGUUAAUCGGAUUUACUGGGCGUAAAGCGUGCGUAGGCGGCUUAUUAAGUCGGAUGUGAAAUCCCCGAGCUUAACUUGGGAAUUGCAUUCGAUACUGGUGAGCUAGAGUAUGGGAGAGGAUGGUAGAAUUCCAGGUGUAGCGGUGAAAUGCGUAGAGAUCUGGAGGAAUACCGAUGGCGAAGGCAGCCAUCUGGCCUAAUACUGACGCUGAGGUACGAAAGCAUGGGGAGCAAACAGGAUUAGAUACCCUGGUAGUCCAUGCCGUAAACGAUGUCUACUAGCCGUUGGGGCCUUUGAGGCUUUAGUGGCGCAGCUAACGCGAUAAGUAGACCGCCUGGGGAGUACGGUCGCAAGACUAAAACUCAAAUGAAUUGACGGGGGCCCGCACAAGCGGUGGAGCAUGUGGUUUAAUUCGAUG